ACGUUAUCAAGAAAGGCUGAGGGAAUAGACCCGUUGAAGCCUUAGCAACCCUUUACACUUAAAGAAGGUGCUACGUUCUACUGCAAAAGCAGAUAGAUAACCC
rnacentral:ncRNA from 1 species